rnacentral:rRNA from 1 species
GAUGAACGCUGGCGGCGUGCUUAACACAUGCAAGUCGAACGGAAAGGCCCAAGCUUGCUUGGGUACUCGAGUGGCGAACGGGUGAGUAACACGUGGGUGAUCUGCCCUGCACUUCGGGAUAAGCCUGGGAAACUGGGUCUAAUACCGGAUAGGACGAUGGUUUGGAUGCCAUUGUGGAAAGUUUUUUCGGUGUGGGAUGAGCUCGCGGCCUAUCAGCUUGUUGGUGGGGUAAUGGCCUACCAAGGCGUCGACGGGUAGCCGGCCUGAGAGGGUGUACGGCCAAAUUGGGACUGGGAUACGGCCCAGACCCCUACGGGGGGCAGCAGGGGGGAAUAUUGCACAAGGGGGGCAAGCCUGAUGCAGCGACGCCGGGGGGGGGAUGACGGCCUUCGGGUUGUAAACCCCUUUCGCUAGGGACGAAGCGUUUUUGUGGCGGUACCGGGAGAAGAAGCACCGGCUAACUACGU